rnacentral:rRNA from 1 species
UGCAAAGUUCGAAACGAAUGAAGCCCUUUCGGGGGUGGAUUAGUGGCGAACAGGUGAGUAACACGUGAGCAACCUGCCCUUGACUCUGGGAUAAGCCGGGGAAACUGGGUCUAAUACCGGAUAGGACUCCUCAUCGCAUGGUGGGGGGUGGAAAGCCUUGUGCGGUCUUGGAUGGGCUCGCGGCCUAUCAGCUUGUUGGUGGGGUGAUGGCCUACCAAGGCGACGACGGGUAGCCGGCCUGAGAGGGUGACCGGCCACAUUGGGACUGAGACACGGCCCAGACUCCUACGGGAGGCAGCAGUGGGGAAUAUUGCACAAUGGGCGGAAGCCUGAUGCAGCGACGCCGCGUGGGGGAUGACGGCCUUCGGGUUGUAAACCCCUUUCAGCAGGGAAGAAGCGGAAGUGACGGUACCUGCAGAAGAAGCGCCGGCUAACUACGUGCCAGCAGCCGCGGUAAUACGUAGGGCGCGAGCGUUAUCCGGAAUUAUUGGGCGUAAAGAGCUCGUAGGCGGCUUGUCGCGUCUGCUGUGAAAGCCCGGGGCUCAACCCCGGGUCUGCAGUGGGUACGGGCAGGCUGGAGUGCAGUAGGGGAGACUGGAAUUCCUGGUGUAGCGGUGAAAUGCGCAGAUAUCAGGAGGAACACCGAAUGGCGAAGGCAGGUCUCUGGGCUGUAACUGACGCUGAGGAGCGAAAGCAUGGGGAGCGAACAGGAUUAGAUACCCUGGUAGUCCAUGCCGUAAACGUUGGGCACUAGGUGUGGGGGUCAUUCCACGGUUUCCGCGCCGCAGCUAACGCAUUAAGUGCCCCGCCUGGGGAGUACGGCCGCAAGGCUAAAACUCAAAGGAAUUGACGGGGGCCCGCACAAGCGGCGGAGCAUGCGGAUUAAUUCGAUGCAACGCGAAGAACCUUACCAAGGCUUGACAUGUGCCGGACCGUCCCAGAGAUGGGGCUUCCCUUCGGGGCCGGUUCACAGGUGGUGCAUGGUUGUCGUCAGCUCGUGUCGUGAGAUGUUGGGUUAAGUCCCGCAACGAGCGCAACCCUCGUUCCAUGUUGCCAGCACUUCGGGUGGGGACUCAUGGGAGACUGCCGGGGUCAACUCGGAGGAAGGUGGGGACGACGUCAAGUCAUCAUGCCCCUUAUGUCUUGGGCUUCACGCAUGCUACAAUGGCCGGUACAAAGGGUUGCGAUUA